CUACGGGGCGCAGCAGUGGGGAAUAUUGCACAAUGGGCGCAAGCCUGAUGCAGCCAUGCCGCGUGUAUGAAGAAGGCCUUCGGGUUGUAAAGUACUUUCAGCGGGGAGGAAGGGAGUAAAGUUAAUACCUUUGCUCAUUGACGUUACCCGCAGAAGAAGCACCGGCUAACUCCGUGCCAGCAGCCGCGGUAAUACGGAGGGUGCAAGCGUUAAUCGGAAUUACUGGGCGUAAAGCGCACGCAGGCGGUUUGUUAAGUCAGAUGUGAAAUCCCCGGGCUCAACCUGGGAACUGCAUCUAAUACUGGCAAGCUUGAGUCUCGUAGAGGGGGGUAGAAUUCCAGGUGUAGCGGUGAAAUGCGUAGAGAUCUGGAGGAAUACCGGUGGCGAAGGCGGCCCCCUGGACGAAGACUGACGCUCAGGUGCGAAAGCGUGGGGAGCAAACAGGAUUAGAUACCCCGGUAGUC
rnacentral:rRNA from 1 species